rnacentral:rRNA from 1 species
CGUACACUCCUACGGGAGGCAGCAGUGGGGAAUAUUGCACAAUGGGCGCAAGCCUGAUGCAGCCAUGCCGCGUGUAUGAAGAAGGCCUUCGGGUUGUAAAGUACUUUCAGCGGGGAGGAAGGCGAUAAGGUUAAUAACCUUGUCGAUUGACGUUACCCGCAGAAGAAGCACCGGCUAACUCCGUGCCAGCAGCCGCGGUAAUACGGAGGGUGCAAGCGUUAAUCGGAAUUACUGGGCGUAAAGCGCACGCAGGCGGUCUGUCAAGUCGGAUGUGAAAUCCCCGGGCUCAACCUGGGAACUGCAUUCGAAACUGGCAGGCUAGAGUCUUGUAGAGGGGGGUAGAAUUCCAGGUGUAGCGGUGAAAUGCGUAGAGAUCUGGAGGAAUACCGGUGGCGAAGGCGGCCCCCUGGACAAAGACUGACGCUCAGGUGCGAAAGCGUGGGGAGCAAACAGGAUUAGAUACCCCUGUAGUCCCAU